UUUCCGUAGGUGAACCUGCGGAAGGACCAUUAAUGAGUUGUCAUGGGGUUCGAUGCUGGCAGCCAAUUUUUGGAUGCAUGUGCUUGCCCUAACAAUCAUCUUCCAAACACCUGUGCACAUUUUUGAGGGAGUCUUGAGUUGGUUGCCGCUCUUGGGUGAUUUUCUCACAUUCCCUUAAAUCAUUAUACGCUAUUAACAAUGUUGAACGUGCUCUGUGCCGCAAGGCUAUUAAUAUAAUACAACUUUUAACAACGGAUCUCUUGGCUCUC
rnacentral:misc_RNA from 1 species